GAUAAAAGACAGAUGGCUCCAGCAGGUAAAGAUAUACACUUUAUUUCCAGAUCUGGAAAUAAAGUGUAUAUCUUUACCAGCUGGAGCUAUCCAGAUCUGGAA